UUAAGUUUAAUUUGAAUCCGUGUUUAGUGAUUUGAAUUUACUCGUUUGUUAUUGUUGUUGAAUUUAAAAGUAUGUUUGUUGUUAACAAUGUUGUUGGUUCUUUGUUGUUCAUCAUAUAAUUUGAAUUUGUUUGUUGAAUUUGAUUAAGAAUUGGUUAUAGUUGCUAUAUUUUGGUUAAUUGAUUUAGGUGAAUUGGUUAUAGCUGAUAGGGGUAGAGUAGCAAUUUUCAGUAAUUUUGGGGGUAUUUUUGGAAUUUAAAGUUUGGACAAUUAUUUAAUUUAAGUGCUAUGUCCACUAGAUUAAAGUAUGAUUAAAAUAUUAUAGGGGGGACAAGACAUAAUUAUGUAAAUGGGGUGACAAUGUGAUCUUCUUUGACCAAAGUAAAAAGAGGAUAGACAGUGGGGUCCGUUUUGACUACUUUUUGCUUAAUUAAAAAUCAAAAAUAGCAUAGGUAAUAAUAAAAGGUUAAAAACGUCACAUAGUUAGAAGAAUAUGGGUUGAAAAGUAAAAAAGGGUAAAAUGGUUAGUAAUAAUAGUUCAAAAGUAAAAGUUAAUAGUUAAAAGAAGAGAGGAAAAAGUCUUGCUUUGGGUAUAUAAUAGGACUCAUUUAUCACUUAAAAGGGGACUGAUUUUAAAGAGAAAAAUUUCAGACUGAAGAGAACGAAAACAGAGAAUAAGAAAAGAAUUGAGAGUUGAAAAGAUUAGAGAGCUGAAAACCCCAUUGUUUAUUUGAAGCUUCUCUUCUUGCUUCAUUGAUUUCAUUUCUCUUUAUUCAAAUAAACUAAGACCGAUCUUAAGUAACUCUAGUGGGUCUUUGAGUUCAUUUGGCUUGUGUUGAUAUUGUUGUGGGUUGAAGUCCAUUUCUGUUCUGGAAUUUUCUGGGUUGAUUUUAUUGGGUUUUGUUGAAAUCUGUUGCUGGGUUUGGCUACUGCUGUUGCUAUUUUGCUGUGUUGAUUACUGUCUUGCUGAUUUCUCGCCUUCGUCCUCUUGUUUCCAAUAUCAGGUACACGACUAUAACAUUAUGUAAGCUAAAAAUAUGAAAGCAUGAAUACAUAUGAAGAAUGGAACUUUGAAGUUUCAAUUUAGCUUUUUCUUUGAUUCUUUUAUUGAUUGUAUUUAGGCUAUUUUAUGUAUUAUUAUUCUGUAAAUUUCUGUCGCUUUACAUAACUAUGCAGCUUGUAGUGAUGCAUUAGAUAAUACUACGCUUUCGCUUUGGUAUUAGGUAGUAUAUGUUUAAGCAUGCUAAUUACCGUCAAAUUGUUUAAUAAUCGGAAUAAGAGGAAAAUAUCAUAAGUUGAUCUUUAGUAAAAUCGGACUGGCAAAAACUGAUUAGUUCACUAGCUAUGAAGGUUUUAAUAUUGUCAACAGUAGGCUAAUAGUGAACAUGUAGCUACAUUUAGUUAAAGCAUGAACCUAAAUUAAUUUCGUGAAAUAGACAUUUUGGCAUGAUUUGAGUUCAAGCAAGAUGGUUUAACGUUUAGAUUUAAUAAACUUUUGAAUAAGCAUGGAUAAUUAAGGUAAAUUUUAGUUUUAAAUAGUUGUAAAUAAUUAAUGGUUUAUUCAUAUAACUAUGCG
rnacentral:lncRNA from 1 species